GUGUCAGCAGCCGCGGUAAUACCAGCUCUCCGAGUGGUGGGGACGUUUAUUGGGCCUAAAGCAUCCGUAGCCAGCUGAGCAAGUCCCCAGUUAAAUCCAGCGAUUUAAUCGUUGGACUGCUGGGGAUACUGUCCGGCUAGGGGGUGGGAGAGGCCGACGGUAUUCCCGGGGUAGGGGUGAAAUCCUAUAAUCCCGGGAGGACCACCAGUGGCGAAGGCUGUUGGCUAAAACAUGCCCGACGGUGAGGGAUGAAAGCUGGGGGAGCGAACCGGAUUAGAUACCCGGGUAGUCCCAGCUGUAAACGAUGCAGGCUAGGUGUUAGGGCGGCCACGUGCCGCUCUAGUGCCGCAGGGAAGCUGUUAAGCCUGCCGCCUGGGGAGUACGGCCGCAAGGCUGAAACUUAAAUGAAUUGGCGGGG
rnacentral:rRNA from 1 species